UCCUCGGUGGUGUGAUGGAAAGCACGGCAGACCGGAUAUCUGUAAAUGCGGGUGCGAGUCCCGCCUGAGGUC
rfam:Dictyocaulus viviparus strain HannoverDv2000 D_viviparus-1.0_Cont525.6, whole genome shotgun sequence.